UAUAUUUUGAUGUAAAGAAGCAUAAUAAUUUUUGAAAUUUUUUGUAAUAGUUUAAUUCUAUUAAAUAUAA
rnacentral:tRNA from 1 species